CCUACGGGAGGCAGCAGUGAGGAAUAUUGGUCAAUGGGCGCUAGCCUGAACCAGCCAAGUAGCGUGAAGGAGGACGGCCCUAUGGGUGGUAAACUUCUUUGAUAGGGGAAUAAAGUGCAGUAUGUAUACAGCUUUGCAUGUACCUUAUGAAGAAGGAGCGGCUAACGCCGUGCCAGCAGCCGCGGUAAUACGGAGGAUCCGAGCGUUGUCCGGAUUUAUUGGGGUUAAAGGGAGCGUAGGGGGGUUGUUAAGUCCGUUGUGAAAGUUUGCGGCUCAACCGUAAAAUUGCAGUUGAUACGUGCAUCCUUGAGUACAGUAGAGGUCGGCGGAAUUCGUGGUGUAGCGGU
rnacentral:rRNA from 1 species